GUUGAAAAAUUAGCGGAUGACUUGUGGCUGGGGGUGAAAGGCCAAUCAAACCGGGAGAUAGCUGGUUCUCCCCGAAAUCUAUUUAGGUAGAGCCUUGAGCGGACACCUUCGGGGGUAGAGCACUGUUUCGGCUAGGGGUCCAUCCCGGAUUACCAACCCGAUGCAAACUACGAAUACCGAAGAGUGAUACUCAGGAGACACACGGCGGGUGCUAACGUCCGUCGUGGAGAGGGAAACAACCCAGACCGCCAGCUAAGGUCCCAAAGUCUAUAUUAAGUGGGAAACGAAGUGGGAAGGCUUAGACAGCUAGGAUGUUGGCUUAGAAGCAGCCAUCAUUUAAAGAAAGCGUAAUAGCUCACUAGUCGAGUCGGCCUGCGCGGAAGAUGUAACGGGGCUCAAAUAUAGCACCGAAGCUGCGGCAUCAGACGAAAGUCUGUUGGGUAGGGGAGCGUUCUGUAAGCGGAUGAAGGUGGUUCGAGAGGGCUGCUGGACGUAUCAGAAGUGCGAAUGCUGACAUAAGUAACGAUAAAACGGGUGAAAAACCCGUUCGCCGGAAGACCAAGGGUUCCUGUCCAACGUUAAUCGGGGCAGGGUGAGUCGACCCCUAAGGCGAGGCUGAAAAGCGUAGUCGAUGGGAAACGGGUUAAUAUUCCCGUACUUGGAUAAGCUGCGAUGUGGGGACGGAGUAGGUUAGGUUAUCGCACUGUUGGAUAUGUGCGUUUAAGUUGGUAGGUGAGAAGUUUAGGCAAAUCCGGACUUCUUUAACACUGAGAGAUGAUGACGAGGCUCUACGGAGCUGAAGUAACCGAUACCACACUUCCAGGAAAAGCCACUAAGCUUCAGGUUUAUCUAAACCGUACUGAAAACCGACACAGGUGGUCAGGUAGAGAAUACUCAGGCGCUUGAGAGAACUCGGGUGAAGGAACUAGGCAAAAUAGCACCGUAACUUCGGGAGAAGGUGCGCCGGCGUAGAUUGUAGUCCCUAGCGGGCGAAGGUUGAACCGGUCGAAGAUACCAGCUGGCUGCAACUGUUUAUUAAAAACACAGCACUCUGCAAACACGAAAGUGGACGUAUAGGGUGUGAUGCCUGCCCGGUGCUGGAAGGUUAAUUGAUGGUGUAAUCGAAAGAGAAGCUCCUGAUCGAAGCCCCAGUAAACGGCGGCCGUAACUAUAACGGUCCUAAGGUAGCGAAAUUCCUUGUCGGGUAAGUUCCGAC
rnacentral:rRNA from 1 species